rnacentral:rRNA from 1 species
AUGGAUUUUGAGCCUCAUGAAAUCUUAGAAGUUGUGCCUCGGGCAGGUGACGACCCCAACGGUCAUGCGAAUCCUCAGGCGGCGGCUGCUGGUGCUGGUGCCGGCGCCGGCGCCGGUCAUCCGGCAGCCGGGCAAGAGGACCCGGUGGCGGUGGCGGCAGCUCAGCGAGCUAAAGAAGACGCGGAGUAUCUGGACAAGAUGCGCGGGUGGCUGAUGACGGUGGCCACGCUCUUUGUCGGCUUCGCCUUCCAGGCGGCCAUGCACCCGCCUCCGUGGAUACCGCAGGACUAUCUCCGACUGUUGAUAGCCGCGCACGGCGGAGCCGCUUCUGACGCCAAGACCAAGCUGGCCAACGACGAGGGCCUGCUCGCUGCCAGGGACGGAGGCCUCACGGUGCCAUGUUUCAUGGCGCUCAACAUGCUCACCUUCGCGACGGGGCUGGUCCUGCUGGUCACGCUGCUCGUGAUGAAAAGGGGCCCGUCCGGCAGUGACAUGAAUCGCAUAACGUUCCUGGUGAAGGGUCUCGCCGCCACUGUGGCCUGUACGUUUGCCGCCGGUGUCUCCGCCGAUCCCGUCGCUGCUUUGCUGGUUCUUGUUUUUCUCACGCUGUACGCCAUCUUGGCUUUCGUCAGAGUCAUGGGCUGGAUCCGCGGAGUAAUGUAUCAGCGGGUGUGGCAACUAUUGCAAAGGAGAAUAGGAUCUUAG